GCCGGGGUGGCGGAAUUGGUAGACGCAGUGGAUUCAAAAUCCACCGGUAGCAAUACCAUGCGGGUUCAAGUCCCGCCCCCGGUACCA
rnacentral:tRNA from 4 species